UACCUCAAAAAACCACAACAGUCUGUUUCAUCCGUAUAGGAAUCAUCAGGUGGUCUGAUGAUUCCUAUACGGAUGAAACAGACUGUUGUAGUUUUU